UUUUGGAAAUGAAAUUCCAAGUGAUUAGAAAAUAAAACAGAAGCUCAAAAAUGUAUGGAAACGAUGCAUGACGUUCCAAGAUAUUAAUUCCUAAAAUUUAAAGCACACCCUUAAGCAAAUAUCCAGAUUGGCUCCAUAAGUAGAAAAAUAAUUUAAGAGAUUAACAAAAACUUGUACUGCUAAUUGUAGAAGUGCCUGUACACACAACCAUAAAAGUAAAUUUCUUACUCCAACUUAAACUGGUAUUUUAAAAUUGACAUGUACGCCUUUCUUGGAGAAAUAUAAAAAGAGAGGUUAAAAGCUGCUAAAAAAUAGUAAUGUUUCUUUUUUCGAAAUCGCGCAGUAAUGUGCUUUUUCUAUGUUCAAAAAUCGGCACAGAAAUUAAAUGCGGUGUUGUCAUAUUAGUAUUAUCUACCUCCACAAUUACAUUUUACAAGGUUAUAAAUUGUUUUUCGGUUUAGCAGUAAUUCUAUACUCUUUGAUAACCCUUUUUAUUAGUUAUUAGAAACACAUCCGGUUUAUUAAUUUUAUAAAUAUAAUUUAUUAACUAAAUUUGCGCGUAAUCUCGCAACGUCGCAACCUUGCAUGGCAACAGCGGAUUUCUUGAAGUGCAGCGACAUUCUAUGGCAGCGAACAAUGUGUAUCCACAUAACCUGUAAUAAGUUUUUGUUCGGUGCAGAAACAACCAUGGAAAACAUUAUAUGGAGAAUAUCUCAUUUUGCAUACGAGUAUUUCGCUGAAAAAGAAAAUUCUGUGAAAUCAACAUUUUGGGCUACAUAGUCGUUGUUAAAGUCAACUCUGUUAAUAUAAAACAGCAUAGAUAUAAUCUAAGUACACCAAGUUCUCAAGCAAAAAAUAUAGGUUAUGUUUCCCAGAAAUCAAAUAUAUUUACAAGAGAAAACUUACGAAAAUUUUUAACAGCGGCCCGUGAUUAAUGUACCUAAUGUCAAAGGUAUAUUUUUUAUUCGAAGUUGUAGGAGUAUGCGGAAAGGAAGAAUUUGAACAAUUUUCUUGUAUCUACAUAACCUAUAAUAAGCUUUUAUUAUUAUUACAGAACAGAUUAUUAGCUUACAUGCCCAUUUUAAAUGAAAGUAUGAAGCAUACCUCUUAUUUUUCGGCACUUUUAAUAUUUUUGCUUGCAGAAAGAUCUGCAGCAAUUGCAAAAUAGAGAUGGAUAGCAAUAAUAACAAGCAGUUUACAUGCAUUCGACCGAACUUGCAAAAACUGGCAGAUAAUAUAUCAAAUUUAUUACCUAAAAACUCAGCCACAGUUUAUGAAAAGCGGUAUGAUUUUUUUUUUUUUUUGCGCAGAAACAACCAUGCAAAAUAUAUGGAGAACACCUCAUUGCAUAGGAGUAUUUCGCUGAAAAAGCAAAUUCUGUGAAAUCUUUAACACUUUGGGCUGCAUAGUCGUAGUUAAAGUCAACUCUGUUAAUAAAAAACAGCAUAGAUAUAUCUAAGUACACCAAGUUUUCAAGCAAAAAAUAUAGGUUACAUUGCCAAGAAAUCAAAUAUAUUUACAAGAGAAGACUUACCAAAAUUUUUAACAGAAGCCCGUGAUUAAAUGUACACGAUGUUAAAGGUGAUCUCAAACAAGGUCAAUCACAUUGUCUAUAAAUCAUUAUGUUUUAGGUUUAUUUUUUAUUAGAAGUUGUAGGAGCAUGUGGAAUGGAUAAAUUGAAAAAUAAUGACGGCAUUCAAGACAAAAACGAUACGCUAAUAAUUAAAAUUCCAACGUCUAAAACUGGCAAAGCACGAGAAUUUACAAAUAUGUGUAAAAAUAUUUAUCCAAUUGAAAUAUAGUAAAAAUACCUAAUUUUAAGACCGCACCAUACACCAGACAAAUCAUUAUUUAUACAUUACAUUUGGAUAGUGAAUGCAGCAGCUGCUGCAUUGUACAAAUAUACCUGCAAACACACUGUAACAAAUUAUGCAGACACCUCUUUUGACUAAAAGAUAUAUAUUUAACUUUAUCCAUACGUUGUCAACUUUGUUAAUAAUUGCAAUCUCUAACUUCAUAAGAAAUAUGAAUAAUCUACUUUGGUGUUUUAUAGUAGUAUUAAAUGUUCAUAGAAUAUAAUUGCACUUACUACGAAGUAAGCUUUCCUAGUUUUAAGUUGUUUUCUUUUCUCUUUGAUUAUCUUAAUUUCUUCAGCCUCUAUGUGGCUGUUUUAAUUCCAAAAAAUUGUUUCUGAAUAAACUGAUUCAUACCA